AUUGAACGCUGGCGGCAGGCCUAACACAUGCAAGUCGAACGAGUGGCGGACGGGUGAGUAAUGUCUGGGAAACUGCCCGAUGGAGGGGGAUAACUACUGGAAACGGUAGCUAAUACCGCAUACCAUCGGAUGUGCCCAGAUGGGAUGAGCUAGUCGGUGGGGUAACGGCUCACCUAGGCGACGCUCCCUAGCUGGGCUGAGAGGAUGACCAGCCACACUGGAACUGAGACACGGUCCAGACUCCUACGGGAGGCAGCAGUGGGGAAUAUUGCACAAUGGGCGCAAGGCUGAUGCAGCCAUGGCGCGUGUAUGAAGAAGGCCUUCGGGGUGUAAAGUACGUUCAGCGAGGAGGCGUUAAUCGCAGAAGAAGCACCGGCUAACUCCGUGCCAGCAGCCGCGGUAAUUC
rnacentral:rRNA from 1 species